AAUUUACAGCUAGUUAGCCUCCAAGCUAACACUAGCUGCAAUCUCCAAACUGCUCUGUCAAGAAAACUACAUUGGAUGAAAAAGUACCAGAAAAUGGAAGUUGUCAAACGUGGACCAGGAUCUUUCCAUUCAGACUAACUCUCUAUUCAGAGGCGAUUAGUGGUCAUCUCCUUCUCUUCCAACAGCCCCGUGGUCAGCCCAGUUUUCAGAAUAGAUGCGGCCAUCCCUGAGAAACUAAAUCCUAAGGAAGCUGAGGGGAGCGGGAGAAGCGCAGCUCAGAGUCCCGGGACAGU